rnacentral:rRNA from 1 species
ACGAACGCUGGCGGCGUGGAUAAGACAUGCAAGUCGAACGAGAGAAUUGCUAGCUUGCUAAUAAUUCUCUAGUGGCGCACGGGUGAGUAACACGUGAGUAACCUGCCCCCGAGAGCGGGAUAGCCCUGGGAAACUGGGAUUAAUACCGCAUAGUAUCGAAAGAUUAAAGCAGCAAUGCGCUUGGGGAUGGGCUCGCGGCCUAUUAGUUAGUUGGUGAGGUAACGGCUCACCAAGGCGAUGACGGGUAGCCGGUCUGAGAGGAUGUCCGGCCACACUGGAGCUGAGACACGGUCCAGACACCUACGGGUGGCAGCAGUCGAGAAUCAUUCACAAUGGGGGAAACCCUGAUGGUGCGACGCCGCGUGGGGGAAUGAAGGUCUUCGGAUUGUAAACCCCUGUCAUGUGGGAGCAAAUUAAAAAGAUAGUACCACAAGAGGAAGAGACGGCUAACUCUGUGCCAGCAGCCGCGGUAAUACAGAGGUCUCAAGCGUUGUUCGGAAUCACUGGGCGUAAAGCGUGCGUAGGCUGUUUCGUAAGUCGUGUGUGAAAGGCGCGGGCUCAACCCGCGGACGGCACAUGAUACUGCGAGACUAGAGUAAUGGAGGGGGAACCGGAAUUCUCGGUGUAGCAGUGAAAUGCGUAGAUAUCGAGAGGAACACUCGUGGCGAAGGCGGGUUCCUGGACAUUAACUGACGCUGAGGCACGAAGGCCAGGGGAGCGAAAGGGAUUAGAUACCCCUGUAGUCCUGGCAGUAAACGGUGCACGCUUGGUGUGCGGGGAAUCGACCCCCUGCGUGCCGGAGCUAACGCGUUAAGCGUGCCGCCUGGGGAGUACGGUCGCAAGAUUAAAACUCAAAGAAAUUGACGGGGACCCGCACAAGCGGUGGAGUAUGUGGCUUAAUUCGAUGCAACGCGAAGAACCUUACCUGGGCUUGACAUGUAAUGAACAACAUGUGAAAGCAUGCGACUCUUCGGAGGCGUUACACAGGUGCUGCAUGGCCGUCGUCAGCUCGUGUCGUGAGAUGUUUGGUUAAGUCCAGCAACGAGCGCAACCCCUGUUGCCAGUUACCAGCACGUGAAGGUGGGGACUCUGGCGAGACUGCCCAGAUCAACUGGGAGGAAGGUGGGGACGACGUCAGGUCAGUAUGGCCCUUAUGCCCAGGGCUGCACACGUACUACAAUGCCCAGUACAGAGGGGGCCGAAGCCGCGAGGCGGAGGAAAUCCUGAAAACUGGGCCCAGUUCGGACUGUAGGCUGCAACCCGCCUACACGAAGCCGGAAUCGCUAGUAAUGGCGCAUCAGCUACGGCGCCGUGAAUACGUUCCCGGGUCUUGUACACACCGCCCGUCACAUCAUGGAAGCCGGUCGCACCCGAAGUAUCUGAAGCCAACCGCAAGGAGGCAGGGUCCUAAGGUGAGACUGGUAACUGGGAUG